ensembl:lncRNA
GUUCCCACAGCUUUUUCAACAUUAAAAGAAACAAAAAAAAAUCUUUAUGCUCCUCCUGAUGUCUCAGCUGGACCUGAGACCAGAAAACCAGGCCAGAGAAAAGCCUCUUGGCAUUUGAGUGAGGUUGUGUACUCUAGAAAUACUGGAAAGUUUGCAUUUCGCUCCAGUAGUGCAUUUCAAGAGCUGAUAAAGGCUCCAGGUAUUGUAAUGAUCUUGAGCUUAUAUCGGACCACCUUUUCAUCUUAAGGUGAAGGUCAUGUUGCCAGCAGUGGAAGCCAGAUCUAAAGAAUGGAGACAAGUGCCAUGUUGUACGGAUUUCAGAUUCCACUGGAAGUCAGGAAGUGAACCCCUGAUCUGGAAUCUGUCAGACUACUCUUUGCCUAGAGAUGUUCAUACUCAGAAAUGCAGCGUUCUGCACUGUGUGGCAUUGGCCUGGCAAACAGUCGUGAACUCCUCUGCUCCAGGAGAAAAGUAUUCCAAAGCAGGAAAAACCCAGACGUUCUUCACUGAGCCUUGGGACAGCUGCUGGAAUAAGAAAAUGCAAAACAGUCAUUUGAACAGCAGAACCUCUGAACUCAGCAACUGGAAUUCCCAAUUACAGACAUGCUGCUGUUUCUCCUCCCUCAACACAGAUGUUUAGCUUGAUCACUCCCCCAACCCCAGUGAGACAAAUGCUGUGAAGGAUGCAGAGCUAUGCAUGCUCUGACAGCUACAUCAAAGGCCCGGCCCAGCCUGUGCCUCAGCCACCAGUCUGGAGGAAAUCAGAGACCCUCAUUAAAGUUUCAGAAAAACCUAACUGGUAUGAGGACGGCACUCAAAAAUGUGUUCAGGGGAAAACAAAUAUUGUUUUAACGCUAUUAAUAAUUGAUGAGUUGCCAGCAGAGAUCCUCAUAGCAUUAAGGGAAUUGAAAAUUAAAGGCACAAAGACACUACUUUAAGAAAACAUCUUGGUAAAUAAUUAAUAUGGAAUGAGCCUAUUGGAAUCUGAAGAGUGUAGCUUUUAGUUUAUGUUGUCAAACCUAUGCUUUCUAAUACCAGAGUUUCUUCCAGAAUGAGAGCGUGGUCAUUUUCAUUUUAUACGGACAAAAGCUCUCACUGUUCUGCCGCUCAGCUGAAAUCAUUUACUGGCUUCUGUAUCGGUUGUGUUGAGCCCCUACCAUCAACCUAAGCAGCACAGCUAAGCACCCAAAGAUUAUGGCUUUCUGAAAUCAAGAGGGGGAAAAAGACGGAUAAUUAUUUAGAAAACAGAAAAGAACAUAUUCGUGUGUCUGUCUUAGGGAAAUGACUGUUUGUCAGGGUCAGACUGGAUCAGAGGAAGAAACCCUGCCAAUGUGUGUUUAGCAAUAUGAGGUAUAAAUAGCUGUGAGAAGCAUCUUGGGAUGUGUAACACUCAGGAGCAAUGACUGCUUGAGUUUUUGUGUCUCUAGAGAGAUGUGUUUGCAAUGGUGAGGCCAGUUGUGGGGGCUGCACUGAAUAAAUAAUUCAGAGGCCGGCA